GACCUCUUAGCUCAGUGGUAGAGCGUGAGAUUCCAGUUCAUUCUGGUACAACCUCAAGGUCAUCCGUUCAAAUCGGGUAGGGGUCA
rnacentral:tRNA from 1 species